rnacentral:pre_miRNA from 1 species
UCUUCAUUCCACCCACUCUCUCGCCGGUCAGAGAGGCGAGAGAGUGUGCGUGAAGUGAAGAGA